CAAUCUCAAAUGUGUGGCUAUGCUUUUCUGUUUUCUCAAAUUCAGGUAAAUUUUUUGCAAGGAAUUGGGCCUUGUAAAUGAACCUCUUCCCCUACUUAUUGUUAGUGAUUGGGCCUGCAAGCUCAUGAUCUCCAUCUUUGGAUUUUGGAUUCAGAUUAAACACGUAUGAUUUCUUCAGAAGUAUUUUCAUUUUAUUAUUUUUUUUUCUUGGCCCUAUAUUCUUUUUUCUUUGUCUAAAUACUAAACCUUUUUUUUAUUAUUAUUAUUAUUUGUACUAGAAGAUUUUCAGUUGAUUGUACUAAGAUCGGAGGAUACUUUUAGCAUCCAAGUUUUUGAACAUGUCAGUUUGGACUGGACGAUCAACAAUAUGCUCUUCUUGGUUGGUUUAUCCAAUGUAGAGACUUGUGACUGGAUGUUAAUUAUGGACUGAAGCCUCUUGAGAGUGGUAACAGCUUGGCGUCUCACAGCUCGGCCGCGGAUAAUUGCUUGAAGUGUCACUAUUCCCUUCAGUGCCCGCAAAGCUUUCCUUGCCUGCAAUUCUCAAUUCACAUGUUCUUCAAGCCAAUUCAGACAACCCCAUUUGCGAAAUCAAUGAGAACUAGUUUGCAAAAGAUUGAAUGGACUCACAAGGUAACCCCGGAAGGAGGUCUGAAUCUUAACAGCAGCAGAUUCUUGGAUUUCCCUCUCACAUUUUGUAUGCGCCGAGUG